rnacentral:rRNA from 1 species
GACGGAGGGGGCAAGCGUUGUCCGGACUCACUGGGCGUAAAGGGCGCGCAGGCGGUAGCGUGCGUCGGUGCUGAAAGCGCCCCGCUUAACGGGGCGAGGCGUGCCGAUACGACGCGACUGGAGGCAGGCAGAGGGUGGCGGAAUUCCGGGUGUAGUGGUGAAAUGCGUAGAGAUCCGGAGGAACGCCGGUGGCGCAAGCGGCCACCUGGGCCUGACCUGACGCUGAGGCGCGAAAGCGUGGGGAGCGAACCGG